UUGAUUUUUUUUUCUAUUUUAGGGUGAUGCGUAAUGCCGUACUUGAAUCUCAAUCCGACAGUAAGGUGAAAAGGGAAGGUCAAGAGCAGAAGCCGGAGCAACAGAAGCAGCAAGUUGAGGAAGGUGGUGAACCCAAUAAGGUGGAGAAAGCUGCUCAGGAGACAGUUGAAACGCCUUCGAUGCCUGAGACGCAGGAAGAGAAGAAGCCAGAAUCGACCACUGAUGCCAGUUGUGAAGGAAGCAACAACGGUGAAGGUGCAAACAGGUGUCUUUCACUGUGUUAUCACGAGAAUGGCAACGACAAUUGAAGAGAACCGCCAGGAAGACAAUUUUCUAUACCAUCGUGUGAGGGAUGUCAACAUUCAAAAGCUGCCCAGGUGCUUCCAUGUUUGUCUUCAAGUUACCAAAUGGUGAGAAUAUUCUUCACACAGGAGAUUUUCGGGCUGGAAAUGUUUCCAAUUCUACCUCGAUACAACGUAAGUUAAAAGAACUUUAAUUAUUAUUAUUAUUUUAAAUGCAACCCAUCCAAAAAUUAACAUAAAAUCAACUAUAAAAUGAGCAUGAUCAGAAAUACUGCAAAUUAUCUAUAUAGCAUAUUUCCUGAAAUGAUUGUUUGAGGAAACGGCAGGGCCGAUGGUGAUAAAAUGGAGGUAGAAGGCCUCAAUAUGGAUCUACCUGCUGAAGGUUCAGAUAAAGGGUUUUUUUUAUAUUAAAAAUAUUUCGGGGGUACUAUAUUAUUCAGCCCCCCUCCCUCUCCCGACUAAUAUCACAUAUAUUAUAGAUUUAAAUGGAAUUUGCUCACACGGGUUUGGGGGCUCAGGUUUGGUUUUUUAUGCACAUCUACCUAUAUAAUAAAGAAAGGUAAUCGUAUCUAUACAGUUCCUUAUAUCAGGUGGUUUCCAGUGGCCGUAUCCAUUUUCCCCCCAAAGCCCCCCUUCAGGUAGCCCCCAUUAUAAGGUUCAUGCAUUUUUUGCGAAUUUUUGGGAUUUUAUAAGUGACUCUUUUGGGAUUUAUAAGUGGCUCUAAUCUACUUAUAAACCAUCAUAUUUUUUUUCACUAAAAUUUGCGCUGAGCGCAACAAAUCCCCGCGAAGCGGGGUGGGGAAAAUUAGAGCGAAGCGACAAUUUACCUCGUCAUAAUAUAAUUUUUAUAUGCUACUGCAACUCAUGGUUAUAACGAGUGAUUUUAAAAGCUUUUUUGCAACCCUUUUUUUUAAUCCUUUGAAACAAAACUUAGGUAUAAAAUGAUUAAUUUUAAAACUUUUUGCAGAUAUUUAUCAUCUCAAACAAUCUUGCCCAGUUAGGAUGAAAAUAUUGACAUGGCUAUAGAGGAGCCUUCUUUCUUCUAUUUUCUUACGAAAAAAAUGCUAAUUUUUGCAAUCGGAGGUUAGAGAUAUCUUAUAUGCCUACAUAUAACGUGUCAUAAGACUUUUGUAUGUCAUGUCUUACGUAUGUUUUCUGGAUUUUAUCAAUUUUAUGCAAAAAAUUAUGUUUUAGAGAUUAACUUUUUAACCCUGAAUUUGUGUUGUGUUAGUAGAAAAUUAUUUUUCUGAGCUACCCUGUGAUUCAUUUGCGGGAAGAAUUAUUCAUUCCUCAGUGAAAAAUCUGCGAUUCCCAGAAAUUAUUUGGCUCAAUUUUUGUCAAUUACGGGAAUUCGCAGAGUAUUUUUUUUCUUCACCGUUAAUUUUUUAUAAUAGCUUUUGCUACUUUCAUUUUUUUUUUUCAAAUCUUUUAUUUGCACUUUGAAAGAUUUUUUUUUCUUUUCCGCGUUUUCUUUUUUUUUAUUAGAAGAGAGAUGGGUUUUGUAUUUUAUUCCGAAUCUUUAUAAUUUUGCGGAAUUCUUUUAAAUUAAAUUUUUGCUGAAUUUAGAACCUUUCUAGGGAUGAACGGGAAACAUUUAGCGACAGUUUUUUCCCUAUAACCUCUAGCCGCGAAAGUGCGGAACAAUUUAAUAAAAUUUAAAAAUUACUAAGAGCCUUUUUGGGGACGAAUGGAAAGCAUUCUGUGGUAAAUGUUUUCCCCCCAAAACCUCUAGUUUUUCUUGCAUAACCAGAAUGAAUGAAAAGGUCAAAACGAAUGUUAUCGAUAGGCCUUUUCCCUGGGAAAUGCAUCAGAAAUUAAUAAUAUUUUACAAUUUUCUUUCUUUUUUUUUAUUAUAAUUUUUUCCUUAAUUAUUGGUGAUAUUUUCUGACAUUUUGUGCUCGUAUGUGUGGUUUAAUUCAGCCCCUUCACUCACACCUUAUCUACCCUUUAAGCCUUUUAAGCGCUGCCAAUUUACGUUCAUUUUCUUUCUUAUUAAAUUUUAAUUUAUUUCAAAUCACAAUUUAUUUUCUUUAUUUUUUUUUCCUCAAUAUCUUCCUGAUUCUUGAUCUUGCCUUUUAUGUAAUUGAUCGUUCAGGUACUAUCGCUUUAAUUUAUUUUUGCAAUGAUAUCUGAUAGGAAGAGUUUUGCAUUCUCUUUCAAUUCCAUCUGCUUAAUGGUAGUUACUGAUAUCCUUGGUAAGCUUUUCUUUGUAUAGCACGAGACCUCUCGCGUCCAUUGCGACUUUAUUAUGGUUCUUUAGUAACCCCCCCCCCCCCCCCCCGCGGGAAGAUCAGCUUUGUCUGAUUUUUCGGUGAAAAUUCUUUUCUUUAUAAAGAUUUUCCGGGAAAUUAUCGGGAUUCGUCCUGAAGUUUCACUGUGGUUCUUGGAACGAGAUGUUGACUGUGUUCCCUCCUUCCAGAUCCAACCGAAUACCCUUGAGAUGGUGGACCUUGUUGUCCCUUUUCUCAUUCUUCAGGUGUGGAUUUUCCGCCCAAGUUUUGGCUCGUGUGGAACUCAAUGUCUUUUCCAAGAGUUUAAUUUUUUUGUUAACUCUUUCCUUUCUAGAUUCCUCUGCCAUAUUAUCCUGCAACUUUAUUUUUGUAUUUUAAUUUCUUCUUCAUAAGCAGUUAGUUCGAUUAUGUUGGGCGCCAUAAAUAUAUACCAACCCUCCCAUUGAAAGACAGGGUGGUUAUAUUUAAAAUGAUUUUGUGGUGUUUUAUUUUAUAAUUAAUUUUUGUUCGUGAAAUAUUAAAAGAAAAUUUGAAACUAAAAUUAUAAGUGACCCAUGAAAUAUUGAACAUUGUUUUUUCACCUUUGAAACGAAUCGAUUCUUCUAAAGAGCUCUCGCGAGUAAAAAUUCCUCAAAAAUUGUGAAAAAGACUUUAAAAACAUAAAAAACUAUUAAAAUAAGUGAAUUAGUGAAAGACGUGAUACAUGCAAUUAGUGGUGAGUCUACAUUUUUAUUACAAUUUUUAUAAAUAAUUAAGUUUUUAAUCUUUGUGUUUGUAUAAUUUAUUAUACACAUAAUUUGUUAUUUUUGCAAUCGGAGGUUAGAGAUAUCUCAUAUGACUUACGUAUAACGUGUCAUAAGACAUGUUAAUAAGUAUGUUUUAUGGAUUUUAUCAAUUUUAUGCAAAAAUUUAUGUUUUAGAGAUGAAAUUCUAUUUUCUUGACCUUUAUAUAAGACUUUUUGAUGCAUUUAUAUAGUUUGUCUCCUUUUCCUGAAAGAAAAUUUGGAAAAAUAAAAAUUAUGUGCAAAAUUGGUGUUUCCGCAAAAUUUCGGCACGGCGCUAGUGUUUGUGAAAAAAAGUGCAAAAAAGGUGAAACGCUGAUGCUGUGAAGGCCCUAUGGAUAUGAUGUGCGCGGCCGUAAAAUAUUAAAACAAAAAAAAAUCACAAUUUUUUGUGGAAAUUGGCAAUGUAAGUAUGUUUUUCUUUUAUUAUCUUGUAUAUAAUAAGAUGAUUGUGUGAUGGAAGAUAAACUGAUAAGAGAAGAAGCCAGAAUCGACCACUGAUGCCAGUUGUGAAGGAAGCAACAACGGUGAAGGUGCAAACAGGUGUCUUUCACUGUGUUAUCACGAGAAUGGCAACGACAAUUGAAGAAAACCGCCAGGAAGACAAUUUUCUAUACCAUCGUGUGAGGGAUGUCAACAUUCGAUGUGACCUUGCGGAACAGAACUUCGGCAUGACAAAGUUGCAGGACAUCUAGAGGAAGGAGCAACGCGGUGGUAUUAAAGAUGCCAUUGCAGGGCUGCGGGAACUCAAGGAGGAUGACAAGAAGGAAUUAACGGAUCUCCUUGAUUGUCAUUUCUGAUCCGGAGAAGCAGCCAAUUAAGUCAGUGUCCCGGAAGACAAACAAGAGACGCUUCCAGAGCAGAUAAACUUUGAGGAUUUCACGGUGAUGCGUAAUGCCGUACUUGAAUCUCAAUCCGACAGUAAGGUGAAAAGGGAAGGUCAAGAGCAGAAGCCGGAGCAACAGAAGCAGCAAGUUGAGGAAGGUGGUGAACCCAAUAAGGUGGAGAAAGCUGCUCAGGAGACAGUUGAAACGCCUUCGAUGCCUGAGACGCAGGAAGAGAAGAAGCCAGAAUCGACCACUGAUGCCAGUUGUGAAGGAAGCAACAACGGUGAAGGUGCAAACAGGUGUCUUUCACUGUGUUAUCACGAGAAUGGCAACGACAAUUGAAGAGAACCGCCAGGAAGACAAUUUUCUAUACCAUCGUGUGAGGGAUGUCAACAUUCAAAAGCUGCCCAGGUGCUUCCAUGUUUGUCUUCAAGUUACCAAAUGGUGAGAAUAUUCUUCACACAGGAGAUUUUCGGGCUGGAAAUGUUUCCAAUUCUACCUCGAUACAACGUAAGUUAAAAGAACUUUAAUUAUUAUUAUUAUUUUAAAUGCAACCCAUCCAAAAA